UAAGCUCUCCCCAGCCAUCGCCCUGCAGCGCACCCAUUACAGCUUCAUGAAGGCAAAGAAAAACACUGAUGGUGGGAUAAUGGCAGAUGAGUGGGCGACAUUACACCACCACCACCACCACCAGCCCUGCCUCCGUUUCCGUGGCGAGAAGCUUUAUUUGUAAACCACUUGUAAGUUCAUGAACUGAAGCAGAUCCUAAACAGAUUAUCUUCAUAACAGUUGUGUCCUUACAUUAUUAUAACACAGUCUGGUAGUAAAUUGCUUUCCAAAUGCAAUAAUACACACUCAGAAAUGCAGGGAAGGUCAGGUGUCAAGUGUAGGCAGGUGAUGGGACAAGGCUUGAACCAUAUCAUGAAACACUUCUGCGCCGCACCUCCACUACUUUCAAAUGGCUCUUGUUGAAGUGACACGGAUUCUUAAGGAUGUUUUUUUACGGUUCCAGUGACAGAAUAACAAGAUUUCUACAUUAUUAACAGGAGAAACACCUGGAAACCCGGCGUACAAUUUGUGUGUCCUUUGAAACAGUCGUGGUGGGAGAGCGAAGCGUUUCGGAAUACGGGCCACAGAAUCAACUGAAGCUCGCCAGCCAGUCAGCGGCGGCAGGCGGCGGGAGUUCCAGCGGGGCCCGAAACUGAGUGAGUGCCUUCGUGAGUGCCACAGGUGAGAUGACUGGCUGGUAUUGAAAUAAUGUUUUCACUCGGCUAAUGCUUGGAAAGACCUGAGUGGCCUCGGCUUGCUGUCAUGUGUCGUGGUGUGGUGAGGUGCAGAACAACGUGUAUCUCAGGGAAGAAUGCAGCUUUUGAGCUUGUGGAAUAAAUCCGUGUCGUGGCAUCAUGAGGGAAAGCAGCUUGUGUGCUGUCAUACGGACGGGGCGCUCACAACUUGGAAUCUCACACAAACCUCUCCCACACCCACCUCUAAUAUCUUCCACUACGGUAAGUGUGCCGUCACCUGUGUUCACGGAGGUCACACACCACUCCUGCCCGCCACUCCGCCUGCUCGCCUUCACUUGGGUGCGCUGGAGGUGUUUCAUCGCUUUCGUUAAGACCUUGAUUCGAGAGGAAAACUUUUGGUCUUCCGCAAGUCCUUAGUAAUUCCGACCCUUCUAAAUUAACUAGCAGUGUUUGGUUGUAUUUCGAGCAAUACGGCGAGGUCUGGGGUCUGUAAGGACACCUAGCGGGCAGCUCAGUAGCCCAUUCACGACCAGGCAGGCAGACAGAAUAACAGUCGUUUAAGUCAGGCCGCAGCAGUCAUUACCUCCUCCGGUCAGGGUCCAGAAAUGCAGAAACGUUUGUAACGAGAGAUCACUGGAGGUUGAUAGGCGUUAGCAGAGUUAUCUGUGGUGCGUAGAGACUGGCGGGGUUCCGGUACACACCAAUGGGAAAUUAAGCACGUUAGGUAUCAGAGUCAACGAGUCUGAGGUGAGGAGAGGAGGGAAGGUGUGCACGUUGUGAUUGCCGACAGAGAGAGAGAGAGAGAGAGAGAGAGAGAGAGAGAGAGAGAGAGAGAGUAUACAGACCAACGCAAAAUAGUACUAACAGAUACAUAGAUGAAAUAAGAUGAAAACAUCCAUGCAAGUAGUCGUGAAAUAUAUAGCGAGAACUUAUGUUGCCGUGCCAACACUGGCAAGGAAUGGCAGAGUACACGACGGUAAGGCGACACAGCAAUUACAGGGACGGACGCUGCACAACACUGGAGUGACUAUUCCAUGCCCGUGUUGCACCGCGCCUCGGGGAGUGUGACGCGUGUGAUGACAACACAAGGCACCUUCUCUUCUUUGUUAGGUACCAGGAGUCAUGCUGAAGAGAAGCGGCGUGAUGUCAGUGUUGGUCAUAUUGAUAUAUUAUGAGUAAAUCAGGUGGUGAUGGAGGUGCACCUUUAACAGAUUGUAACUCGCCUACAUCACUGGCUGGUGAAAUUGAAAUAUUUACUCAGUGUCC